UUCGACUGUAACUUCCGGUGUGUAUAUAUCCAUCACGUAAUUUUGAUUGUACCCCUUGAUUGUACAUUAACAAGAAUUUCUAUUACAAUUGCAGGAGUAAAUUCUAAGAUAGGAAUUAACUUUCAAGGGGAGACUAGCACAAUUAACAGCAAGAUUUGUUUAUUCAAUGGGAGACAACUCAUUUUCAUUAUUCAAAUUAGUUGAGUGCAGAAUUCAAAUCAUAAACCUUGACUACUUUUGUUUGUUUUUCAAUCUUUACAAAAUAUGUGGAUUUUAUACUAUUGGUACUUGAAGUACUUUCUGUGGCAUGUUUUCAUGGUGUGGGAAUAAGACUUGGUGGUCAAAUACAGCUAAUAUGUAGGUUAGCACCACAGCUUGUCUGCAAGGAUUGAAGCUGGGAAACGGCCAUUGGAGCUGAAUUUUAUGGAAGCUGUGGCUGCAGCAAUGAUUAUGUGAUAAAACUGAAGAAUGUUAUUCAAAUUUUUUUUGUAUAUAUUUCAAAAAAUGUAAUUUUUUAUAAAAAAAAAAAAAAAAAAAAAAAAAAAAAAGUGUAAAGAUUCUCCAUUUUCAAUUAGAUUGGAAGCUUGUAUUUACAAUUGUUAGAUCUUCUUCGUUAUUCCCCCACCCCCUGUAUCUCUAUUUCAUUUUUACUUUGAAAAUGAAAUGGAACAGACAAAUUUUACUUGUCAACUUAAUAAUGGUCUGUCUAGUCAAAAGGCCUCCAGUUGGUUUAGAAUGGAGAAUCUAAAAAAAAAUAUGUAAAGUGGUUUUUUUUAGUUUCCUGAAUUUUUAUAUACAUUUUGUUAUUGCUCCCUUUCAAUUUUUAUAAAUUCCAGAUUUUAAGUUUUGGAUUUAUGGGGCUUUAUUCAUAAAAAGGGGGAUUUUUCACACCUGGACAAUAACUCAAAAAGGCUUUCACCAAUGUCCAUGAAACUUUGGUGAAUUGUUUAUAUCUAUUGACAUAAGCUCCCUUUCCCUUUUUAUUAAUUUUAGAUUUUACGUUUUCUUAACCCUUUCCUCCAUGGAUUUUUUUUCUUGACAUACUUGAUUCACAUAAGGAUUUUAUCAAUAAAAAAAAUCAUCAGGUUUAAAGUAUUAAUGCAUUGUGAAAACCAAUAUUUCAUCAAUGAAAUUAAGGUCAGAUAUUCUCAUAAAUAUUCUUUUCAUAUUGGAUACAAACUUUUUUAAGUCUGAUGCAGACAUUUUGUAGUCAAAGCAUUUCAACUGAGGUACUACACAGGCGUCAAAAGGCGUCAUUAUGGAGUAAAGGGGGUGGCGUCAAAAAGAGUCAUUAUGGAGGAAAGGGUUAAGUAAUGAAUUUUUAUACUUAAAAAAGGGGGAUUUUAUGCAGUUUUGGUGAAACUUAAAAGAGCAACGGCCGUAUCAUCCCUUUAUUGAAAUGUGUUGUAGUUUUUACAUAUUAUUAUUUCUUUAUUUUAAUUAUACAAAUUUUGUAUUGUUAAAUAUUUAAAGGGUGUGGAGUCUCAACAGGGUGAAAUUUUCAGGACAAAAGGGAGGUAAUUCCUUUGUUAUACUCAUUAUACUUGAAAUUUCCCGAGUGUUUGUGUUUAUAUGGAAUAUAACUUUUUUAAUUAAAAUAUUCACUUUUGUACACAUUUUCUUUAAAUAUUAGAUGUAUACUUGCUAAAAUUACUUUUAUUUUAGAGUUCUGUAAAUAAAAAAAAAUGUAAGCAGAGCUCUAGCUAUAGAUAAUAGAUUUGGAGGGUGGGAGAAAUUGUGGGUAACUACAAUUGAUUAGGUGAAAUUUCGAAAGACUUAAAAAGUGCAUCCGAUAUUUAUUUUUACAUAAUGUUAUUUCUGAAAGCAAAUGGACAAUAAGAUGAGGACAUAAACCACCUUCCAGGUUAGGAUAGCAGCUCUUAAGGAAGAUGGUCAAUUAAAUCUUCAACCCAGUCUGAGGCCUUACCAUGAAAAAUAUGUGGUUGUUGAAAUUACAAUGUUUUCAUGGUGUGGGGAGUAAGACUUGAAUAUCUGAUAUUGUUAACAUGAUGGUUAGCAUCACAAGUUUCCUUUGGGUAACUUGCUUGAGGAGUAAAGAGAGCUGUUUAAGUUGAAAGUGUCACCUUUGCUGCCUUGUGUGGUACAAUCUUCAGACAAUAUCCUGCAAACCGUGGCUGAACUGUUAUUAUCUUUUUUUAGUAGAAUCCUUAGACAGUAAUCUUGUGGCAGAAUGAGUUGUAAACAAAUUGUUUUUAUUCCUGUAUUGGAUAUUUUUUAUUUAUAUUAUUUGUAUUCCAUUUGCAUUCAAUUAUUGUUUUUUAAUUGAUGAAUCAUUAAAACUUAAAUUUUGCGGGGUCCUAAAGGACUUUCUUAGAGGGGGCCAGCACAAUUGAUUAAACAAAAUUUUUCCCGCAACAGGGAGAGGAGACAUCCCCAUAAAUAUGCCUUUGAAAUGGGGUGUUAAAGAAGAUUUGUAUUAUUUGUUUGUUUGUCCAUCAUCAGCUCUCAUCCACAGCUUGGUAGAUUUUCAUUGAAACUUUCAGCUGAUUUUCUGUACUAAAGGCAGCAUGUUUUUUAAUUUAUUAUAAUGAAAUUUUGGGUUUUCCCAACCUUUUUGAAGUGAAAACAAUGGAACACAGUGUUGGCAGAUACUGAAGAUUAUUUGAAAGUUUAGAGAAAGUCCCAUUUUAUCUUGAUAAUUGUGGGUUAAAGUUGUAGAUGGAUAAACAAACAUAUCAUACUCACUUUACCUAUUUGCGAAUCCAGAACUUAACAUAAAGGGGCCCAACACCAGUCAUUUCCUGUACAAUCAACCAAAUUG